rnacentral:rRNA from 1 species
GACGAACGCUGGCGGCGUGCUUAACACAUGCAAGUCGAACGGAAAGGCCUCUUUCGGGGGGUACUCGAGUGGCGAACGGGCGAGUAACACGUGAGUAACCUGCCCUUGACUUUGGGAUAACUUCAGGAAACUGGGGCUAAUACCGGAUAGGAGCUCCUGUUGCAUGGUGGGGGUUGGAAAGUUUCGGCGGUUGGGGAUGGACUCGCGGGUUAUCCGCUGGUUGGUGGGGUAGUGGCUUACCAAGGCUUUGACGGGUAGCCGACCUGUGAGGGUGACCGGCGACAGUGGAAGUGAGACACCGCAUUGAGACCGAGGGGCGGCAGAGGUAGCGACGGUACGCAGAUGGGGGGAAGAUUGAACGAUGAAUGGAAGGCGAAUGCUGCAGGGCCUUGGACCGUAAGACUGUCUUAGGAUUGAAAACCACUUUCGUACGUGACGAAGCAUGUUUUGACGGUAGUUAAUAAGAAAGCACCGGCUAACUACGUG